UACGAAGGGGGCUAGCGUUGUUCGGAUUUACUGGGCGUAAAGCGCACGUAGGCGGAUCGUUAAGUCGGGGGUGAAAUCCUGGAGCUCAACUCCAGAACUGCCAUCGAUACUGGCGAUCUUGAGUCCGGAAGAGGUGAGUGGAAUUCCUAGUGUAGAGGUGGAAUUCGUAGAUAUUAGGAAGAACACCAGUGGCGAAGGCGGCUCACUGGUCCGGUACUGACGCUGAGGUGCGAAAGCGUGGGGAGCAAACAGG
rnacentral:rRNA from 1 species